CCUGUUCAGAUUAUGUCAAAUCAUGGCUUCUCCACCUGUUUCCAUGUUGUCUGCUGUUGGAAGAACAUCUAUGAGGGACUGUGAAUAGAAUCUUUAUCUUCUGCUUAUAUACAACACUUACUCAUGGGCCAGUGGCACAAUUUCUAGCUGUACAAGGAUAUCAUGGUGUUUGAUAA
rnacentral:lncRNA from 1 species